rnacentral:rRNA from 1 species
UACGAAGGGGGCUAGCGUUGUUCGGAAUCACUGGGCGUAAAGCGUACGUAGGCGGAUUGAUAAGUUAGGGGUGAAAUCCCAAGGCUCAACCUUGGAACUGCCUUUGAUACUGUCAGUCUUGAGAUCGAGAGAGGUGAGUGGAACUCCGAGUGUAGAGGUGAAAUUCGUAGAUAUUCGGAAGAACACCAGUGGCGAAGGCGGCUCACUGGCUCGAUACUGACGCUGAGGUACGAAAGCGUGGGGAGCAAACAGG